CAGUUAUAGGAAAGAAGAGGUUAGUAUUCCCCUUGAUAAAGAUGGAAGAUUUCCUAGUGGCUUUUAAUACAUGCGCAUGAUUUAAGCCACAGGGGUCAGCAAACUUUUUC